rnacentral:rRNA from 1 species
GAUGAACGCUGGCGGCGUGCCUAAUACAUGCAAGUCGAGCGAACAGACGAGGAGCUUGCUCCUCUGACGUUAGCGGCGGACGGGUGAGUAACACGUGAAUAACCUACCUAUAAGACUGGGAUAACUUCGGGAAACCGGUGCUAAUACCGGAUAAUAUAUUGAACCGCAUGGUUCAAUAGUGAAAGACGGUUUUGCUGUCACUUAUAGAUUGAUCCGCGCCGCAUUAGCUAGUUGGUAAGGUAACGGCUUACCAAGGCAACGAUGAGUAGCCGACCUGAGAGGGUGAUCGGCCACACUGGAACUGAGACACGGUCCAGACUCCUACGGGAGGCAGCAGUAGGGAAUCUUCCGCAAUGGGCGAAAGCUUGACGGAGCAACGCCGCGUGAGUGAUGAAGGUCUUCGGAUCGUAAAACUCUGUUAUUAGGGAAGAACAAAUGUGUAAGUAAAUAUGCACGUCUUGACGGUACCUAAUCAGAAAGCCACGGCUAACUACGUG